ACUACGAUUUCAAGUGGAGAAAGAGAAAGAAAAAUAUCUUGCAGGAUUUGUGCUCAGAAAAGCCGGAAGAUUUGCAGGAGGUGGCUGGAGGAGAUGGAGGAGAAGAUAGCCCAUCCUGUAGGGGAUAAAUGGAUUUAAAGACCUCUUUCUCUAGAUCCAGGACAACGAAACACUAUUUAUGAACUUCUGGUGCACAGAUGCCAACUUUCAGCUUUCCCCAGGGGUGCUCCGGCC